UACGAAGGGGGCUAGCGUUGUUCGGAAUCACUGGGCGUAAAGGGCGCGUAGGCGGCCGAUCAAGUCGGGGGUGAAAGCCUGUGGCUUAACCACAGAAUGGCCUUCGAUACUGUUUGGCUUGAGACCGGAAGAGGUUAGUGGAACUGCGAGUGUAGAGGUGAAAUUCGUAGAUAUUCGCAAGAACACCAGUGGCGAAGGCGGCUGACUGGUCCGGUUCUGACGCUGAGGCGCGAAAGCGUGGGGAGCGAACAGG
rnacentral:rRNA from 1 species